rfam:Ictidomys tridecemlineatus contig007888, whole genome shotgun sequence.
GGAACUGUGGCUCAGUGGUAGAGUACUCACCUGACACAUGUGAGGCUCUGGGUUCGAUCCUCAGCACCA